ACCUCCGGACGGGUAUAAACCGGGAAACUGGGUAUAAUCCCCGAAUAGAUCUCGGGUCGCGUGGAAUGCCCCGAAGAUCGAAAGCUCCGGCGCCAGAGGAUGGGUCUGCGGCCUAUCAGGUAGUAGUGGGUGUAGCGUACCUACUAGCCUACGACGGGUACGGGUUGUGAGAGCAAGAGCCCGGAGAUGGAUUCUGAGACACGAAUCCAGUUCCUACGGGGUGCAGCAGGCGCGAAAACUUUACAAUGCCGGCAACGGCGAUAAGGGGACCUCGAGUGCCAGGUUACAAAUCUGGCUGUCGUGAUGCCUAAAAAGCAUUGCAUAGCAAGGGCCGGGCAAGACCGGUGCCAGCCGCCGAGGUAACACCGGCGGCUCGAGUGGUAACCGU
rnacentral:rRNA from 1 species